UCUGUGACUCCUACGGGAGGCAGCAGUGGGGAAUAUUGCACAAUGGGCGCAAGCCUGAUGCAGCCAUGCCGCGUGUGUGAAGAAGGCCUUCGGGUUGUAAAGCACUUUCAGUUGUGAGGAAGGUGGUGUCGUUAAUAGCGGCAUCAUUUGACGUUAGCAACAGAAGAAGCACCGGCUAACUCCGUGCCAGCAGCCGCGGUAAUACGGAGGGUGCGAGCGUUAAUCGGAAUUACUGGGCGUAAAGCGCAUGCAGGUGGUUUGUUAAGUCAGAUGUGAAAGCCCGGGGCUCAACCUCGGAACUGCAUUUGAAACUGGCAGACUAGAGUACUGUAGAGGGGGUAGAAUUUCAGGUGUAGCGGUGAAAUGCGUAGAGAUCUGAAGGAAUACCGGUGGCGAAGGCGGCCCCCUGGACAAAGACUGACGCUCAGAUGCGAAAGCGUGGGGAGCAAACAGGAUUAGAUACCCUGGUAG
rnacentral:rRNA from 1 species